GAUGAACGCUGGCGGCGUGCCUAAUACAUGCAAGUCGAGCGAACGGACGAGAAGCUUGCUUCUCUGAUGUUAGCGGCGGACGGGUGAGUAACACGUGGAUAACCUACCUAUAAGACUGGGAUAACUUCGGGACACCGGCUCUAAUACCGGAUAAUAUUCUGAACCGCAUGGUUCAAAAGAAAAAGACGGCCUUGCUGUCACGUAUCGAUGCAUCCGCGCUGCUUUAGCUAGUUGGUAAGGUAACGGCUUAUCAAGGCAACGAUGCAUAGCCGACCUGUGAGGGUGAUCGGCGGCACUGGAGCUGGGACGCGGUCCAGAGGCCUGCGGUAGGCAGCAGUAGGGAAUCUUCCGCAGUGGGCGAGAGCCUGGCGGAGCAACGGCGCGUGAGUGAUGGAGGUCUUCGGUUCGUGAAACUGUGUUAUUGGGGAAAAACAGAUGUGUACGUAACUGUGCAGAGCGUGACGGUACCUGGUCAGAAAGCCACGGCUAACUACGUG
rnacentral:rRNA from 1 species